GAGAACACCGCCGGACUGUGCCACACCUUUCCCAGACCCUGUUGCCUAUCCCUCCACUUGCUCAUGGUGAUUUAGAAUUCGGCUUCAUAAACCACUCCUGUCUUGGUGUGCUCCCUAAACAUAGGCCUAGAAGCAUGUGUUCAUGGACUGGAAUCAUCGUAACUGUUUUAUUUUCUAAUCAUCCUGAAUUCUGAUGCACCAUAUUGCCUUGCUGCUAUACCAACUGAACAUCAAAGUUUCAGCAUGCUUCCCAGCACUAAACUUGUAUUUAGAUGAACAAGUACCAAGCAUCAAUCACAGAAGACAGUCAUGAGCAUCAGGGCAUGCACAGUUUUAGUCUUGGCAGGUGGUACUAGAAAACGUCCAUCCUGACAAAAACUAAACUAAAUGUGAUUAUCCAUCUUGAUCCUCGUCGGGAAGGAUACAAGGUGCAUCUGUCAAGUUAACAUCAUUCUGAACUUGGUGCUGUGCUUGGCAGGGUAACUUAUUUCCAGGAAAUGCAUUUCUCUCCCAAAUCUGGUUGUUAGUCUAUGUAUACAGUUUAUAACUUAUAUGCAAAGACAGAGCCCUUUCUGUAAUGGCCACUUCUUACUUUGUGUAGAAUUUAAAUACCAGACCUCAAUGCUACCUGUGUUGUCAAAUGUUUUUCUCUUGUCAGGCUCAUGUUCAAAUCCUUUUCUACAUAGCCACCAUCAAAUGAUCAUUCUUAGAAACGAACUAGCCG